rnacentral:rRNA from 1 species
UACGGAGGGGGCUAGCGUUGUUCGGAAUUACUGGGCGUAAAGCGCACGUAGGCGGCCAUUUAAGUCAGAGGUGAAAGCCUGGAGCUCAACUCCAGAACUGCCUUUGAGACUGGAUGGCUAGAAUCUUGGAGAGGCGAGUGGAAUUCCGAGUGUAGAGGUGAAAUUCGUAGAUAUUCGGAAGAACACCAGUGGCGAAGGCGGCUCGCUGGACAAGUAUUGACGCUGAGGUGCGAAAGCGUGGGGAGCAAACAGG